UACGUAGGGUGCGAGCGUUGUCCGGAAUUAUUGGGCGUAAAGAGCUCGUAGGCGGCUUGUUGCGUCGGCUGUGAAAUCCCGAGGCUCAACCUCGGGUCUGCAGUCGAUACGAGCAAACUAGAGUGUUGCAGGGGAGACUGGAAUUCCUGGUGUAGCGGUGAAAUGCGCAGAUAUCAGGAGGAACACCGGUGGCGAAGGCGGGUCUCUUGGGGCCGAUACUGA
rnacentral:rRNA from 1 species